CCCGCUCAACUGCUCGCAAUGCUGUAGCGCAGCGCUCUGCGGGCGCCAUCGAAUAUCUCUGCCUUAUGGGCCACCUCCGUCCUUUCUCUGGCCCCGCACCUCUUCCCUCUUGCCGAGCUCCCUCUCUGGUUUCCGUCGCACCCCGUCCUCUGACAAAGGGGAAAAGUGGGAGGAGAGGGUAAAGGCACCCAUAUUCAGUUCUGCGCUGAGGCUCUCGGUGCGGUGUGCCGCAGCGUCGCGACGGGCGAUGGCGUCCACCUGAAGGGUCGACAAAAGCGGUGUAGAUGCGACACCACCUGCUCGCUCGUGCCGCAACUCGACGUUGCUCACUGAGUAUGCAUCGCCCGGACGUCUUCUUAGUCGGCGCAAAGGUCUUCUGCAGGUGCACUUCUCGGGUCCGUCUAGUCUCUGUCAAUUUCUUUGUCGAGGUGUUCGUGAUUGCGAGUGGAAGUGUACGCAGUGAAGCUGAUGCUGCUGACGCACGGGCUUGAUUCCACAGUGAGCAACGGCGUCAACGGUACAAAAGCCUCCGAGGCGGUGAGGAAACCGUCCGCAAGCUCUGCCCUUUCGGUCCCGAUGACGACGACUGGGACCUGCACAUGCUUUUCGUCGUCUGGCACCGCGGUUCCGAGCAAGGUGCUCUGGGGUGCCCCUUGCAAGAGAUGCUUACUGGCUUGUUGGUCGCCGUUGCGCAUGUGCGACGACCGUCUGGCCACGCGGGUGACGACUCGGUGGCCGGCUGACUUGCUGCACAGCAAGCCCAAGAAGUCAAGCCUGUAUGUGCCGGUGAGUCAGGGGAUGGAGGCUGCAAUCUUUGUCACGCGUGGGAAGAUCCUGCAGCCUCGACCAGGUAGUGAGGGCAAGCACACAGGACCCCGUCGCCACCGGCGGCAGCCAGUGCGGCCACCCCCGCGCUGAAGGACGACAAGCGUAAAGGGACAGAAAAGCGGAUCGUCUGCAGGGACGCAGAGGUGGGUUCGGCUCAGACGGGUGAUGCCGGUACAAGUCACUUUGCCUCAUCACACGAACGUCAGCCGCGGCGGGCGCCGCGCAUUCAUCGGCGGCGGCGACGCCAACGGAGUGGUUCGCAACUUUGCAAGCGACUACGAUGCCCGCCACAGUUGCCACCAAGCGUCCUCUCGUGUUGGCCGACACAUAGAGGAAUGAUAGAACUCACUGCCGACGGCGCACCUGGAUUUGACUGUGUGAACCAUCGCAAGCGUUUGUGGCCGCCUCUUCGAGUGGGAACGGAUCCCCUUAUCGGGGGCGUCCACGACUGCGUCAGGCGAAGUAGUAGAGUCGCCGGCUCAGUGGGAAGAGAAGCACGGUCUCAACGCCGCCGGGGGCCAUGAGCUGCGCCAGAACACUGGAGUGGCGCUAGCAGAGCCGUGUCGUGCCUGCAUGCAUCUCCGACCUCAUCUGCGUGAGCUAUAAUGUCAAGUCGCUCACAUAUGACGUGCACAUCUUCAAGGGGGCCAUGUGCGUGUCGAGUGUAUACACCUUUGACUUUGUGUUAUGGUGCCGUUCUCGUCGCAACCGUGCUGCACCUCCAUUCCCUCGCGCUCUCUGCCUUUGCGUGACUUUCUGAUACUUCCUCUCGAUCUCUCGGGCACUGGAAAG
rnacentral:misc_RNA from 1 species